rnacentral:rRNA from 1 species
GACGAACGCUGGCGGCGUGCUUAACACAUGCAAGUCGAACGGAAAGGCCCUGCUUUUGUGGGUUGCUCGUGUGGCGAACGGGUGAGUAACACGUGAGUAACCUGCCCUUGACUUUGGGAUAACUUCAGGAAACUGGGGCUAAUACCGGAUAGGAGCUCCUGCUGCAUGGUGGGGGUUGGAAAGUUUCGGCGGUUGGGGAUGGACUCGCGGCUUAUCAGCUUGUUGGUGGGGUAGUGGCUUACCAAGGCUUUGACGGGUAGCCGGCCUGAGAGGGUGACCGGCCACAUUGGGACUGAGAUACGGCCCAGACUCCUACGGGAGGCAGCAGUGGGGAAUAUUGCACAAUGGGCGGAAGCCUGAUGCAGCAACGCCGCGUGCGGGAUGACGGCCUUCGGGUUGUAAACCGCUUUCGCCUGUGACGAAGCGUGAGUGACGGUAAUGGGUAAAGAAGCACCGGCUAACUACGUG